AUUGAACGCUGGCGGCAUGCUUUACACAUGCAAGUCGAACGGUAACAGGGUGCUUGCACCGCUGACGAGUGGCGAACGGGUGAGUAAUGCGUCGGAACGUGCCGAGUAGUGGGGGAUAACGCAGCGAAAGUUGUGCUAAUACCGCAUACGUACUGAGGUAGAAAGUGGGGGACCUUCGGGCCUCACGCUAUUCGAGCGGCCGACGUCUGAUUAGCUAGUAGGUGAGGUAAAGGCUCACCUAGGCGACGAUCAGUAGCGGGUCUGAGAGGAUGAUCCGCCACACUGGGACUGAGACACGGCCCAGACUCCUACGGGAGGCAGCAGUGGGGAAUUUUGGACAAUGGGCGAAAGCCUGAUCCAGCCAUGCCGCGUGUCUGAAGAAGGCCUUCGGGUUGUAAAGGACUUUUGUCAGGGAGGAAAUCCCUAGUGCUAAUAACACUGGGGGAUGACAGUACCUGAAGAAUAAGCACUGGCUAACUACGUGCCAGCAGCCGCGGUAAGAC
rnacentral:rRNA from 1 species